AUGAAUUUAUAAAUAAAGUAUGCAUGUGCAGUAUGUCCAUGUGUGUAUUACAGUAACAUGCAAAGGAUACAGGGUCAAAAGAGCCAUAAGGAAGUGAUGGAAUCAUCACACAGAGCAAUGAAUUCAUGUUAAAUGUAUCUGUAUUUUUGGCAACAUAUUUAUGAUUUGCAUAACAUGUGGUGCAUUUCAUGGUGUAAUGUAGUGUGAAACCUAUGUCAUUGUAAUUCAAUGUGUUUUUUAUCCGAUCAAGUCAGUUUAUGUAAUGCACACACAAACACUAUGUGAAUGUCUCUUGUGCUUUUUUCCCCCCUUGUUCUUCGUCGUGUUCAUUAGCUCAUGUUAUCUCAUUAUCUCUGUCCUCAGUCAGUUAGUCAGUCAAUCAGCAUCUCUUUCUUUCUCUCUCUCUCUUUCACUGGACCACCAGUCUGCAAGUCAACACCAUUAGAUCCUGAUUUUGUCACCGCCUUCCUUCCUGACACUUGCAAUCUAUUCUCUGCCCGUCAGUCAUAAUCCUGUUAUUCUUAUAGAUAUAUGUGGGUGUGUUCGGUUCUGUGGAUGUUCAACCAUUCGUGUUUGCCCUUGCAUGUGUGUGUAUGUGUCUGUCUGUAGUAAUGCUUUCUGAAGGCAUGACCAGAGUUCAACUACAAACUUAACACAGUUGAUGAAGCAUAAAUAAGCUUAAUCAAGAUGAGCAUAGGUCAGACUGAACACAGGGCCCACAAAACACACACACACAAAUAAAAAACUCUAUGCUGGAAUACUUCUCAAGUGCUAUUUCUAGGUUGUUCCCCAUGGAUGAGUGCAGAUACAAGUACAAUCACAUCAGAAACAGCUCAUAUCAGGAUAUAAUGUCCUACAGCAAAGAGUUGACAUUGGCUACACAAAUAGAAAGUGUGAUACAUUUAAGAAAAGAAACAGUAAUUGUGAAUUAUCCAUUUGUUUCACAAAACAUUAAGUUAAUCAACCUGUUUUCAAUUUUAAUCUAAUCUAACUAGAAAAGAGAAUAUGCUUCAAGAAUAACACACACAUUUAAAAAUAAGCUUUUUUUGUUUUGCUGGUCAUUUGAAGCAGUGCACUGCAAAAAGACCAUCUCAGACAGAUUGAUUUUUUUUUUGUUCACCUACCUUACCUCCAGUUCACUGACUUCUGGUUCCAUUGUGAGCAGGGUGAGGCUAUACCAUGCUUCAGUCCCUUGAGAUGAAUAACAAAGCCUAUCUGUCUCCAGAGCUCCUAAACUUGGCCUCAGACGAUGGUUUUACUCCUGCUUGGCCUAGCUCGGGUUGGCAGUGAUGCUCCAGGUUUUGUUGGACAGUGAUGAAAGCUGUGGCCAGGUGUGUGUUUCAGUGGAAGACGACAGGUGUGUGUUUGCUGCUGUGCCAUGUGCCAUAUUAUGUGUUUUCAUGUCUACGUGGAGCUACUGUGUCUAAGUUGGUGUGUAAGGUCUGUCUCUCCUUGUGUGUGUGUGUGGUCUCUCCAGGACAGAGGAUGGAUGUCCUUGUCAGCACUGAUAGGCAGAGCCGUGUCGAGUUGUCAGGUAGACAGCAGCAGCAACAUCCAAGCUGGAAGUAGCGUGAUGACAGAAAUGAGGGAUGGGCAACGACAUCAAAGGAACCAGGAACAUUGCGACUCAUGGUCACUAGGACAUCCAACGGCCUCCUCCAUCUGGUCUUCCAAGGGGACAUCAACUUGUCAACUUGAGCUGUCUCCCUAGGUUAACCUUCAGCUGACAGUCGAAAAACAGCGGCAAGAAGUUUACUUGAUCUUGAGCACUGCUGCUUUCAAGACCAAUUGUCUUCCUUGGUACCAUCACUGCAUACAGCUACAGUACACACAAAGAGCCCCUCUAUGUCUAAGGAAAUAUUCCAGGGCCAUCAAAGGAGACCCCAGUUGGAGCAGUGACAUUAUAGCCUACAGUUGGAAGUGGCCAUUCUGCUCUUGCCUGCAUUGUUCAAGGAGGACCCAGGGUUUUUGUUUGAAGUUGAGGACCAUGCUCAGACUAGCACUCCUGGCAUCUCAACACUGAAGAUGGUGCUUAAAGGCUGCGAGGAGGGUCACCCUAUGCAGUAUGACCACAUUGUGCUCACAUUAGUUGGUCAGUUGAUCACAGAAGAGAGCGAGGACAUCUCGAUGGCACUGGGCCUCCUCCUGUGUGUAUAUUUCGUGUUUGGAAUCCAGUAUCCUAAAGGACUGAAAAAGACACUGACCUUUUUGGAGUGUGUUAUUUUGAAAUUGAAGGAUGCAGCUGGACUUCCUGUCACAGUAAAAAGGUGUACAACUCAAUCUGUGAGUAGACUGUAGGAGAGUAUAUAACUCAGUUUGCGAGUGUAUGUAUUAGUUUCGCUUACUCUCUCACUCACCCUCACUCUAAUGUUAAAAGCUCCUGACUAGUUCUUUAUUUUGUUCAGAAAAUCUAAUGUAGGACUAAGCCUAUAGGCCAAAAAGAGACCUGCUUACAGGGCUGCAGUAAAUGGCUAUGGGCCAGAAUGUUUGUAAACCAGGACUCUCUCUUCCACAAAAUUUAACAUAUUUUAAGCUUGUUGCAAUAUUUUGUAUUUCUAUAUUGUAUUUUUUGGAAUAUAUGUG